GAUGAACGCUAGCUACAGGCUUAACACAUGCAAGUCGAGGGACCGGCGCACGGGUGAGUAACACGUAUACAACCUGCCCUUUACUCGGGGAUAGCCUUUCGAAAGAAAGCUUCAUACCCGAUAUAAAGGAUGGGGAUGCGUUCGAUUAGGUUGUUGGUGAGGUAACGGCUCACCAAGCCUUCGCUGGAUAGUGGUUCGGAGAGGAAGGGCCCCCACAUUGGAACUGAGAAACGGUCCAAACUCCUACGGGAGGCAGCAGUGAGGAAUAUUGGUCAAUGGGCGCUAGCCUGAACCAGCCAAGUAGCGUGAAGGAUGAAGGCUUAUGGGUCGUAAACUUCUUUUAUAUAAGAAGAUGUAUUAUAUGAAUAAGGAUCGGCUAACUUCGUGCCAGCAGCCGCGGUAAUUC
rnacentral:rRNA from 1 species